rnacentral:tRNA from 1 species
UUGCGGCUGGAUCACCUCCUUUCUAGAGACAAAAAAAAGAAGCUAUUUUUUAAUUUAGAUACUAAAUUAAAAAAACUUACUCUCGCUGUUAAUUCAAAAAAAAGAAAAGGCUUAAAAUACAGAGUCUCGUAGCUCAGCUGGUUAGAGUACUACACUGAUAAUGUAGGGGUCGGCAGUUCGAGUCUGCCCGGGACUACUUUUUAAAGCACAAGGAAAUUCUAGAAGCGAAUUUUGAAUUAUAAAUUUUAAAUGAUGAAUUUGAAAAAUAAUUCAAAAAAAUAAUUCAACAUCCAAAAUAGAAAAAAGAUUGGGGGAUUAGCUCAGCUGGCUAGAGCGCCUGCCUUGCACGCAGGAGGUCAUCGGUUCGACUCCGAUAUUCUCCACCAAAUUGAUUUGAAAAUGAAUUGAUUUGAAAAUUUGAAAAUGAUCAUCAUUUUCAAAUUAACGAAUCUUAAAAUC